UACAGAGGUCUCAAGCGUUGUUCGGAUUCAUUGGGCGUAAAGGGUGUGUAGGUGGCGCGCUAAGUCGGGUGUGAAAUUUCGGAGCUUAACUCCGAAACUGCAUUCGAUACUGGCGUGCUUGAGGACUGGAGAGGAGACUGGAAUUCAUGGUGUAGCAGUGAAAUGCGUAGAGAUCAUGAGGAAGACCAGUGGCGAAGGCGGAUCUCUGGACAGUUCCUGACGCUGAGGCGCGAAGGCCAGGGAGCAAACGGG
rnacentral:rRNA from 1 species